UCCGUAGGCGGGCUAAUAAGUCAGAGGUGAAAUCCCGCAGCUCAACUGUGGAACUGCCUUUGAAACUGUUAGUCUUGAGUUAUUGUGAAGUGGUUAGAAUAUGUAGUGUAGCGGUGAAAUGCUUAGAGAUUACAUGGAAUACCGAUUGCGAAGGCAGAUCACUAACAAUAUACUGACGCUGAUGGACGAAAGCGUGGGGAGCGAACAGGAUUAGAUACCCUGGUAGUCC
rnacentral:rRNA from 1 species